rnacentral:rRNA from 14 species
GGUACGCGAGCUGGGUUUAGAACGUCGUGAGACAGUUCGGUCACUAUCCGCUGCGUGCGUAGGAAAUUUGAGAAGAUCUGUCUCUAGUACGAGAGGACCGAGACGGACAAACCUCUGGUGUGUCAGUUGUUCUGCCAAGGGCACCGCUGAUUAGCUACGUUUGGAUCGGAUAACCGCUGAAAGCAUCUAAGCGGGAAGCCCACCUCAAGA